GGGUAUAGCUCAAUGUAGAGCGCAUGCUUAGCAUGGACAAGAUCCUGGGUUCAAUCCCCAGUACCUCCA
rnacentral:tRNA from 1 species